GAUGAACGCUAGCGGCAGGCCUAAUACAUGCAAGUCGAACGGUAAGGCCCUUUCGGGGGUACACGAGUGGCGGACGGGUGCGUAACGCGUAUGCAACAUGCCUUCCAGCGGGGGAUAUACCAGGGAAACUUGGCGCAAUACCCCAUAGAAUUACGGGACCGCAUGGUCUUGUGAUUAAAACUCCGGUGCUGGGAGAUUGGCAUGCGUGACAUUAGCUAGUUGGCGGGGUAACGGCCCACCAAGGCGACGAUGUCUAGCUGGUCUGAGAGGAUGAUCAGCCACACUGGGACUGAGACACGGCCCAGACUCCUACGGGAGGCAGCAGUAGGGAAUAUUGGACAAUGGGGGGAACCCGUGAUCCAGCCAUGCCGCGUGAGGGAAGAAGGUCCU
rnacentral:rRNA from 1 species